rnacentral:lncRNA from 1 species
GGGGCGGGGCGGCGCUCGUGCAAAAAUCAAGGGAGAAACAGCAGAAGGUCAAGGGCGACAGCCCAGGCAGAAGCAGCUGCGUGGCCGGCCCAGCACCACGCCAGCCCCGGGUCCCCGCGCACGGCCCGGGAGCAGCUGUGGGAGGCCCGGCGUGUCCCCGAGCCUGCACGCACCGGGGUCAGAACCCCAGUCCGUAUCUCUCCCAUCUUCUGAGCGAGCACAUUCUUCCCAUUCCUUCACUCUCGCCUUCUCUGCCUCAGCUGACAGGCUGCUGCCUCUCCACCUUGGGGUUUGGCAAAUCUGCCCCCUUCCCAUCUAGCUUUUACAGCCAUCCACUUUGCCUUUAUUAAGCCCAUCUGCC